rnacentral:rRNA from 1 species
AAUCGGGCGGUAAAUUCCGUCCAAGGCUAAAUACGGGCGAGAGACCGAUAGCGAACAAGUACCGCGAGGUAAAGAUGA